rnacentral:lncRNA from 1 species
UGUGUUUGCCUCAGGGUUGAGAUCUUUUAAAUGUGCAGUCGGCUUUAACAAUGAUCAUAAAGUUUCUCUACUCAGUUACAUCUCAAGUAUUCCAGUGGCUGAAUGUUAUUUAUAUUUAGAACAUUCUAGAACUUUCUUUCACAUUUCCCAUUCAUUACAGAGUCUGCUGGCUCCUUUAUGUACGGUAUUUCUCCCAUCAGUUUUUACAAGUAGUUCAGAAGAAAAGCUCUAUCACGGUAGCCAGUAUAAAAGACCAUUGCUUGGAAGCCAUCUGCCACUGGCCAGUUCCCACAGAGCAGGGAUAGAGACUAGUUAAAUAUGCAAAUACCUGUGAUUGAACCCUUUGACCCUGUCUCACAUAGUAAGGGGGCAUUGCAAGUAGGUUUCAGGUAAGGAUUUAGAGCCAAGAGAGUACCUAAGAGUCUCCACUUGAGUCCUGUGCAGUCACCAAUGUCCUUCUUAGAGGGAGACACAAAAUUCAGAGUUUCAGAGGGUGGAGUGGCUGCAGAAGCCAAAAUGGAGAAGGAAAUAUUUGAGAAUGGUACACUAUUGACUUUGAAGAUGAAGAAAGGUGACACAAGCCAAGAAGGACAUCAGCCUCCAAGAGUUUCAGAAGUGACAGUCCCAGGACCCACAUGUUGUCCUCUCACUUCUCUAUGUGUGUAGUGAUGUGCCUCUCCUAUGAAAUAACAAAUUAAAAUGUAAUAAGGAUACCUCAACUAUCUACAGUGCUCUCUCAGACAUGGUCCCUCUGAGAACUGUGGUAACGUUUCCCCUGCACUGGCCCUUGUCUGUCCCUUGUGAGUCCUGUGGUGAGUCACAGCCACAGGUUAGCCCACUUGCACUGCACCAGGCCCUCAGGUGAGGAUUUGCCAGCUGACAGUUGCCCCAUGCUGGUGAGCAUGGUCAGCUGAAAUCCGAACCCACACCAUACACAGAGUAAUGCAGUUCUCAGGAAAUGGAUGAUUUAUUUAUUUUCAGCCUAAAGUUUAAACACUUUAAUGUACCUCCCAAGAUGUUUACCUGGCUCAGAAAAGUGCAAGGAACCCACAGAGCACUCAAGAGCCAACUGCCUCUGGGACCCACCUGCAGGGAGCUAGCCUCCUGCAGGGAGCCAGCCUGCUCCCCCCAGUGCUGAAGGAAUGACAGAGAAAAUGAAAGCUAGGGAAAAUGGCAUCAGAAUUAUCCUUGGGGAUGGCUUUGGGGCGGUUACCCCAGAUGCCGGUGGGUGAGUGCGAAGGGCAGGUGCUUACACUUGCUGGGGAUGGGGAAAAGGAAAACCCGGUUCAAAUUUGCUAAAGUGUUGGCGGCACACGCUGUCUGAGGCUUUGUUUUAGUAAGAGUCACUAGUCAUAAAUAAAUAGGUUACUGCUGGAAAAUCAGUGCCUUCUUUAUUUGUUUAAGUGUUGAUGUUUUCAAGGUUGGGUUGGAAAGUCUGAUAUCACUUCCUGCUGCUGCAAGAUUCUCUUCCUGAGUCCAUUCCACUCUCUUACCUGGGUCUCACCCACUAACAUUCACCUGGCAGAUUUGCUAGUAGCAGGUCUGGGGCUCACUCACUGGUCACAAGUGUAUUGUCUACAUGCAGGAUGCCCAUUAGCCAAAUCACAGACUGCUGUGAGACUCGAGACUUGAAGUCCAGAUGCAUCUCUGCAUUCGUGUGUGUGUGUGUGUGUGUGUGUGUGUGUGUGUGUGUGUGUGCACCUUGCUUAGGUGUGAGGACCUAUGCUGUGAUGGGGGUCAUCACUGUGGAGGCAGAAAUGCUUUUUUAAAAUCAGUUUCCCUAGACAGUAAGAGAGCUCAGCCAUGCCUCCCUUGUCCCCCUGUCCUUCAUGAGUGAGAUUCUUUGACUCCUUUGUACCUCCAGGCCCUCAAGCUGGUCCAUCUUAGUCUAGUGCCUUACUGGGCUUGCUCAUGGCUUGGUUUCAUUCUCAGGAAAUCAGGCAGAGAGAAAAAGCAACUAGAUACAAUUUUUUCAUCCUGAAUUGAGACGACAAAAUGUGUAUCCGUUCUGGUAAUAGACAUAUGCACCGCCAUGCCCUUUGUGCACACGGUGGCCGGUACAUUCCAGACUGUCUGCUUCUUCGUAAGCGCCUUUUGUUUGUUUGUAGGUGUGGAGGCAUCAACCCAGGUUCCGGUUUCGAGACCUGCAUUUCCUGUUGCCUCUCAUGCUGUUGGUGUGGCUUUGUCGUGGCUUAGCAGUGAGCCUGUCUGACCUGCGCCACUUCUCUUGGCCCUCACUACUCCUGCUUUUAGGUCCCUGUGUUUCAGGCUUGCAUCCUUGACAUUCUUGUGGGGCUUCUUUCCCCAUCCCUUACCUUUAUAUCUCAUAAGUUGCUGCGUCUUUAACCAUUUCCUGAUCUCACCCUCCACCCCAUCCCGUGCCUUCCUCUUUUAAAAUCUCUGUGUGUAUGUGUCCCUGUGUGCUUGUGUGUGCCCAUGUAUGUGUCCAUGCCUGUGUGCAUGCCUGGAUACUGUGAAUGUAGCUGCAGACAGAUCAGGGCACUUGUGAGCUCAGAGGUUAAUCGUGGUGCAGGGCUUCAUCUUCCAUCUUGUUUCUCACUGCUUAUGCCAGGCUAGCUAGCUUUCGGGGACUCUUCUGUCUCUGUCCUCACAUGUCCUGGUAGGAGUGCUCGAAUUAUAGACAUGCUGCCCAGCUUCUGUCUUGCUUUUUCACCUGCCAUGACACUCGAAUAAUUGCUAUUACUUAGCUGGUUACCCGCUUCGAGUCAAUCACCCUGAGAUGUUGGUCUUCAUCCCCAACUUGACUAGAUUUAGAAUCACGUAGGAGGUACACAUCUAAGCACAUCUGUGGUGUUUUCAGAUAAAUUCAACUGUGUAAGGAAGAUCCAGUUACAUGUGGGCAACGGCAGCCAAUGGGCUGGGGCCUGAGAAUCAGCAUUCAUCCGUUUCUUGACUGUGUGACAGCCUGAAUCCAACCUCAGUGUGCCUCUGUCAGAUUAACAGGAUAGCUGGAAGUCCCGCUGGCCAUCGGACACUCGUUCAUUAGGUGCUAACUAUGUGUCAGGCACUGGGUACUGGGAUGCGAUGGUGAACAAGACAGCCACAGACCAGCUCUCCUUGGAAACUGAGCUCAGAGGUGGAAACCAACCUAAAUAAACGAACUUGCCAGCCAGUGGGUAGAUGAGGCUGAACCAAUACAUACUGGGUCUGCAUGUGGAAGAAUGAGGCUUGCAGCCAACGGCCGUCCACAUCUCUGAUGAGGAUCAGAGCACAUGGAAAUUGAAGCCAUGUGGGACUUAACAAGAGAUCAAAUGGUAUCUUAAACAUCCCAGGGCAGCUGCCCUGUCCCCAGAGCCUGGGGCGGCCUCUGUGAAGGGGCCCCUCUUUCCUGGUGUUCUGGGUCCCUCUCCUCCCAGCUCCACUGCAGCAUCCAGAUUUCUCGAAGUGGCUGAUGUGUGUCUCAUGAUGAGUACUGAACAUCAUAAAAGGAGAAGUGACAAGCAAGCCCGAGUCUAGAGAGUAAGAGAAGCCACAGGCUAAGAAGUGGGACCAUGGCUUAGAAGACCAGAACAGAAGAAAAAGCAAGAGAUGAACAUUCUGGCAAAAACCAGACUACAGAUUUACAUUUUUUCUUUAUUAUUUUAUUAGAUAUUACCUUUAUUUUUAUUAUCUUUUUAAAUUAUUUUUAUUAUUUUAUUAUCUUUCAUUAUUUUUAUUAAAAUUCUUAUCACUUUAUUUUCUUUAUUCUUUUUUCUUUACUCUCAGUACUUCAUUCAGCAUCACCAUAUUUAAUGUUUCCUUACAACUGGGUCUUUUCUAUGGUUGUCCUUGGAUACACCCUUGUUGGUGGCAGAACCCUGUGGUUAGUUCUGGCCAAUGACUGAUGUGUGGAAGUGAUGUGUCUGGGCUGAUGUAUUGAAUGGCCUCUGGGAAGCAAGCAGUUGACAGGGUGACAGACAAAUGCUUGAAACAGCUUAUGCAGUGGAGGUUUCCUUCAGAGGACAAUUGCCCUGGGGACAUCUCUUGAUCAGGAUCUGACUUUGC